rnacentral:rRNA from 1 species
GACGAACGCUGGCGGCGUGCCUAAUACAUGCAAGUCGAGCGAAGUUUUUCUGGUGCUUGCACUAGAAAAACUUAGCGGCGAACGGGUGAGUAACACGUAAAGAACCUGCCUCAUAGACUGGGACAACUAUUGGAAACGAUAGCUAAUACCGGAUAACAGCAUUAACUGCAUGGUUGAUGUUUAAAAGUUGGUUUUGCUAACACUAUGAGAUGGCUUUGCGGUGCAUUAGCUAGUUGGUGGGGUAAAGGCCUACCAAGGCGACGAUGCAUAGCCGACCUGAGAGGGUGAUCGGCCACACUGGGACUGAGACACGGCCCAGACUCCUACGGGAGGCAGCAGUAGGGAAUCUUCCGCAAUGGGCGAAAGCCUGACGGAGCAACGCCGCGUGAGUGAAGAAGGAUUUCGGUUCGUAAAGCUCUGUUGUUAGGGGAGAAUGAUUGUGUAGUAACUAUACACAGUAGAGACGGUACCUAACCAGAAAGCCACGGCUAACUACGUG